UUCAGUGACUGUUAGCCUGCGUUGUUCUUCUGCAAAGCUUCCAACUUUUUCCGAUUCCAAAAUUUCCAUCCGCAGUCGCACACUCGCAAUCGGAGGAAGAGAAAGAUGCUGGACAUCAAUCUGUUCAGAGAGGAGAAGGGCAACAACCCCGAAAUCAUCCGGGAAUCUCAACGACGCCGGUUCAAAGACGUUGAGAUCGUCGACGAGGUCAUCCAGCUCGACAUAGAAUGGCGCCAGCGUCAAUUCGAGCUCGAGAGCCUUCGGAAAGAGUUCAACAAGAUCAACAAGCGAGUUGCUCAGCUCAGGAUUGCGGGAGAGGAUGCAACUGAGGUGAUAAAGGACACAGAGGACAAUAAAAGGUUGGCGGCAGAGAAAGAAGUUGAAGUGCGAGAAGCUUUAACACAGUUGAAUUCAAAAUUGGAAAUCGUUGGAAACCUUGUGCAUGAUUCGGUUCCCAUCAGCAAAGAUGAGGAGAAUAAUGCUGUGGUUAGAUCAUGGGGUGACAAACGAGUGGAGCCAAAACUAAAAAACCAUGUUGAGCUUGUUGAGCUUCUUGGGAUCGCAGACUUGAAGAAAGGCGCUGAAGUGGCUGGAGGUAGAGGUUUUUACCUGAAAGGUGCUGGUGUACGCCUUAAUCAAGCUCUAAUAAACUUCGGUCUUGAUUUUCUUGAGAAAAGAGGAUAUACAGAACUGCAGACCCCAUUUUUCAUGAGAAAAGAUAUCAUGGGGAAGUGCGCUCAAUUAGCCCAAUUUGAUGAGGAACUUUACAAGGUUACUGGUGAAGGUGAUGACAAAUAUCUGAUUGCUACAGCUGAACAGCCACUUUGUGCAUAUCAUCUAGAUGAUUGGAUUCAUCCAUCCCAGCUACCCUUAAGAUAUGCUGGAUACUCAUCCUGCUUCCGUAAAGAAGCUGGUUCACAUGGUCGAGAUACCUUGGGAAUUUUUAGGGUUCAUCAGUUCGAGAAAGUUGAACAAUUCUGUAUUACAAGCCCAAAUGGCAAUGACUCUUGGGAAAUGCAUGAGGAAAUGAUCAAAAACUCAGAGGAAUUUUAUCAAGCGUUAGGGCUCCCCUAUCAUAUUGUGUCCAUCGUUUCUGGUGCUUUGAAUGAUGCCGCAGCAAAGAAGUAUGAUCUGGAAGGAUGGUUUCCUGCAUCUCAGACAUACAGAGAGCUGGUUUCUUGUUCAAACUGUACGGACUACCAGUCAAGAAAGUUAGAAAUUCGAUAUGGGCAGAAAAAGAGCAACGAGCAGACAAAGCAAUAUGUUCACUUAUUGAACUCGACUCUUACAGCGACUGAGAGAACUGUAUGCUGCAUUCUCGAGAACUACCAGACUGAAGAGGGUGUAAACGUACCGAAAGUUCUUCAACCCUUCAUGGGUGGAAAGGAGUUCUUACCAUUCAAGGCCAAACCAGCCCCUGAAGUCAAAGGGAAGAAAUCGAAGGCCUAAAAUUCUUAUAUCUGAUGAGGAGUAUGCUUGCGCCGCAAGAAACCUUAAUUACGGUUCGCCAUCGCCACCAUGAUCAUUUGAAACAAGGUCGUCAGGAAUUCACAUCAACGUCGAUUCUCAAAGCGUUUGAAAAGCCGUUCUUCAACUUCGUCCGGGGAUUCGGUUUGAAAAAACUGACGAUGAUGUUGAAAUGAAGAAAUCAAAUUUCUUUCCCAAUCGCUUUUCCUAUAAGCUGCUUUCAGUUUGCACCCGCAUUGGAAAUUUUGCGUUGUACAGGAUAAAUCGUGACAGCCUUUUGGAGCUUCAUUUCUUUUUUAUUAUUUUUUUAAUUUUAUUUUUUAAAAUGAAAGUAUGAGUAGGAACUCGUACUUAAAAUUUCUUAAAAUUGUUCGUUGUCAAUUUA